GUGCUCACUUCAGCAGCACAUACCCUAAAACAUCAAUGAUACAAAGAAUAUUAGAAUGGCUUCUGUGCAAGAAUGACAUGCAAGUUCAUGAAGUGUUACACAUACUU
ensembl:snRNA U6 U6 spliceosomal RNA